AUGAACGCUGGCGGCGUGCCUAAUACAUGCAAGUCGAGCGAACAGACGAGGAGCUUGCUCCUCUGACGUUAGCGGCGGACGGGUGAGUAACACGUGGAUAACCUACCUAUAAGACUGGGAUAACUUCGGGAAACCGGAGCUAAUACCGGAUAAUAUAUUUAACCGCAUGGUUCAAUAGUGAAAGACGGUUUUGCUGUCACUUAUAGAUGGAUCCGCGCCGCAUUAGCUAGUUGGUAAGGUAACGGCUUACCAAGGCAACGAUGCGUAGCCGACCUGAGAGGGUGAUCGGCCACACUGGAACUGAGACACGGUACAGACGCCUACGGGAGGCAGCAGUAGGGAAUCUUCCGCAAUGGGCGAAAGCAUGACGGAGCAACGCCGCGUGAGUGAUGAAGGUCUUCGGAUCGUAAAACUCUGUUAUUAGGGAAGAACAAAUGUGUAAGUAACUAUGCACGUCUUGACGGUACCUAAUCAGAAAGCCACGGCUAACUACGUG
rnacentral:rRNA from 1 species